UGGGGAAUUUUGGACAAUGGGCGAAAGCCUGAUCCAGCAAUGCCGCGUGUGUGAAGAAGGCCUUCGGGUUGUAAAGCACUUUUGUCCGGAAAGAAAUCCUUGGUUCUAAUAUAGCCGGGGGAAUGACGGUACCGGAAGAAUAAGCACCGGCUAACUACGUGCCAGCAGCCGCGGUAAUACGUAGGGUGCGAGCGUUAAUCGGAAUUACUGGGCGUAAAGCGUGCGCAGGCGGUUUGCUAAGACCGAUGUGAAAUCCCCGGGCUCAACCUGGGAACUGCAUUGGUGACUGGGCAGGCUAGAGUAUGGCAGAGGGGGGUAGAAUUCCACGUGUAGCAGUGAAAUGCGUAGAGAUAUGGAGGAAUACCGAUGGCGAAGGCAGCCCCCUGGGCCAAUACUGACGCUCAUGCACGAAAG
rnacentral:rRNA from 1 species